rnacentral:rRNA from 1 species
GAUCUGGCUCAGGACGAACGCUGGCGGCGUGCCUAACACAUGCAAGUCGAACGGAGAAUUUUAUUUCGGUAGAAUUCUUAGUGGCGAACGGGUGAGUAACGCGUAGGCAACCUACCCUUUAGACGGGGACAACAUUCCGAAAGGAGUGCUAAUACCGGAUGUGAUCAUCGUGCCGCAUGGCAGGAUGAAGAAAGAUGGCCUCUACAAGUAAGCUAUCGCUAAAGGAUGGGCCUGCGUCUGAUUAG